GGCUUUUUUGGAGUUUUUUUUUUUUUACCUAAAUUCAUUGUCUUUAUAUACUUCACAUAUCUCCUUGCAAUUAUUAGUAGUUUUAAUUUAUAACUAGAAGUAAAAAUUUUUUAUUUUUAUUUUUCUCAUAUACUUAGUCCCGUUUGGUUGACUACUUUUUGAUCUUUUAAAGGUAUGAAUUUGUGUAUAUAUGUGCCUAUGUGUGCAUGCUUACUGUGCGCCUGUGAAUAUAAAUGUUUGUGUUUCGAAUUAGCAACAUAGUUUUUUUCUGUUUAUGCUUUUUUAUGACUCCUUUUUUUCUGCGUGUGUGUCGUCACCAUAGCUAUAGCUGCUGCUUUACCACCACCGUAAGCCUGUUAGUAAGAGUUACACCACCUCGUUGCCAUUCCAGUCCAAACAUCUCGUUCAAUAUUACCGUCGCUUUUCUCUCGGUGUGCGUUUUGCAUGUUUCCUUCUGCCUUGAAGUGUUAAAAGAAGGCUCACAAAUCGUGUAUUUUAUCUGUGAGUCAUUUAGUAAAUUGCUAUGAGGACUUGUGGAUUAUUAUGUGCUAAAGCAAAAGGAUUAUAAUUGCAAAAGCAUAAUCAAUUAUAUGUGAAAUCAACUGAACUCAGUAAGAAGAGAAACUAUGGCCGAAAAGUUUGCAAGGAUACACUAAAUAGAGAAGACAAGAGAGAUACACAGCAACACCACUUGUAGUCUUAUGAACGACCAGAUGUUUUUUUACUUAUUCCGCUGUUAUCAAUUUCGAAUUUGAAACUAUGCCAAAGGAAUCGAUUCAUAAGCUAUGUUAACAUCUUUGGAUAAAAUAGAAAUAUUUCAUAAAAUUGCUAAAAUUACCUAACCUCGUUUAAUUCCGUUUCUGACGCUCUCCUCUCCACCCUCUUUACUUAAUUGACCGCAGUAAUAAGAAAAAACAAAAAAAAAAAAAA